rnacentral:rRNA from 1 species
GUAAAGCGUGCGCAGGCGGUUAUGUAAGACAGAUGUGAAAUCCCCGGGCUCAACCUGGGAACUGCAUUAGUGACUGCAUAGCUGGAGUACGGCAGAGGGGAUGGAAUUCCGCGUGUAGCAGUGAAAUGCGUAGAUAUGCGGAGGAACACCGAUGGCGAAGGCAAUCCCCUGGGCCUGUACUGACGCUCAUGCACGAAAGCGUGGGAGCAAACAGGAUUAGAUACCCUGGU